GUGGAAUCCUAUAUAGUAAGAACUGACAAUAAGGUAUGGGUUCCAAAUAUAUUUAUACAUAAACUAAGAUACAACAGCUUAAAGAAAAGCUAAACAUCUUAACGUGAUUUCCUCUUUCUCUUUCCUUUUGCUUUACCUGUGUGUUCCAGAAAGGUAUUGAUGCUGGCAAAAAGAGGGAUUCAUUGUCUAUGGAAGCAACUAAAUCACAAGGCUGUUUUCAACUGAGGCUUCUGUCUUUUCACUUGUUAUUUCUAUGCAUUUCUUUUAUCAGGCCAUUGCAUAAACCUUUAUCUCUUCUUCUGAGCUGCCUCUGAUGCUGUUUAGUCAGUUAAAUCAAGAAAAUCAGUGGUGAAUAUAUAAUUUUUGCUAAGGGUAAUUAACCUUUUUUUCAAACUCCUUUUAUUCAUUAGGAUUACAAACUGAACAAACUUAAAAAUUAAAAGGUUGAAUCUUAAAAUAUCAGAUUCAAUCCAACAUUUGCAUAACAAUUCAUUUCUAUUAUGAGUCUCCUUCCUAAAAAUUCAAAAGUCAUUUUGACUCCCAGAAAUAAAUUUGUAAAUUAGUAUGUUUGCUUCUUUUCUAUUUGCAGGAAGACAGCAGCUUGAAAUAUGUCUAAAUUUAACUUCUUUCCUUAUGUGUAAACUGUCAUAAUGACAAACUCAUCUACAUGUGAAUACAGCUUUACUAAUAAGCUUCCCUGAACUUCCAGAAAAGGACACGGAAUAUUCUGUGUAGUACUCAAAGGCAAGUACCCUGUCCCUGUCACCCUAAGCUGGGACUUUCUGAUGCUGCUCUCAAGCAGAGGAAGUGCUGGAGGAAACACUCUCCUUGGACUCUAUAACCCUGAAGAUGCAGAGAAACAGCCAGCAGCUGCAGUUUAUAGUCGAACCCCAGGAUAGCAAGUCUCAGUAUAGUUCCUGGUAACAAUGGCUGGAUGAGAGCCAUAGCGUACAUCUCUGCAGACAUAGCUCAUGUUCCUGAAUCCAGGGGCCUGAGUGCUGUACCUGAAACCUAAAACACCGCAGGUUUUUAUCUGCUUCCUACUCCAACUGCUGACAAGCAAUGGAUGCUCUCAUGUGGAGAUUUCUUCUGAGCAGUGAAAGAGAGAGAGAAAAAAAAAAAGCAAUGGGUCUGUGAACAGAACAGUGUGAAAGUGUGUCAGAUGCAAGAGCAAAUUUUUGUUUUACUCCAGGAAAGACUUGCCUCCCAUCUGACACAUUUAUUGGCUCUGUCUCUCAAAGUGUGUGUUUGCUUGAAGUUGCUGACUUUAGUCUUGUUUCUACUCCUUGUUGUUUCUCUUAUCGAUGGCUUCUCCAAACUCACAGCACUGUGUUUAACAAGGAAGUGAUGGGCUGCUGAUCAAAGGUGUACCUAAUAAUCAAAACCCUUCUAGGUUCUUCUGUGGUGAGAUGAUAUAGCACUCUACCUCAUCCUGUCUUCCUGCCAGUACUGCCUGGAAACAACUCUGGGAUAAUCUCAGGAGGCCUGUUACCUUAAUUGCAUGCAUCAAACACUUUAUUUUGCAAUAAAAGCAGCUACAAAUGUGCUGUUAGACAACUUCCUACUGGUAGCCAAAUAUUGUAUAGCUAGAGAUAAAACAGAUUCUAUAAAAAUAUUGGUUAAUUAAUAUGGGACAGAUUUUCAUGGAGGAGCACUAAUUACAUGUGACAUCUUAUUAUUUGUAUUAAAUGUAGUUGCCCUGGGAGAGAUGGCAAGGUGUCAAUGAACAUAAGGCUCUGAGAAGAGGAACUUUUAUAAGCCAUUACCAGAUACUGCAAACCACCAAACCACCAUAAACCACUGGAAACCACUGAAUGGGAGUGAGAAUUAGUGCACUCAUCAAUGUUUAGUCACCACAGAUAUAAGGAAUGAAGGAUAUAAGAGCCUGAAAACAUUCAAGAGGAAAAUGUCCAAAUAUAGAUCUUUCUGUUGUCAAAUGGAUGCUUGGCAGAGAUGGGGAAAUCACUAUACUAGAUGAUGGAAGAUACACCAAUUGUCUAGAGCUUUUCUCAGAUUAUGAAGACUCUUCAGCUAUCUUAAGGAUUUCUCUGUUCUCUGAAGGCCUUCUACUCAAGGCCAGAAGUGAGAAAGAAGAUGGGAACUGUGCAUUCAAACCUAGAGAUUGAGAAGGGUGGAAUAUGGCUAAUCUUUGAUUCAAUUUUGUUCUGUUGGAGCAUGAGGAGUUGGGUAGAAAACAGCAUGCAGCUUCUGACUGAAAGAAGUCUUAAGUCUUAAAGGAUAUGUAGAUUUAAUGCUUUCUCCAGAUAGGGAUGCAACAUAUGUCAAAUAAAUUAUAUAUUAGAAUGUAGGAGAAUUUGGUUUUAUUUUCACGUUAGCAGAGAAGAUAAAGAAACUUUGUUUAACAGCUGGGUUUGAUCUCCGAGAUAGCAGGGAUGUCUGCUUGGAAAAGACACUUCAAAAGCAGGUUGAACUGACAGAAGUUAUAGCCACAGCUUUGCCAUCUACCUGUACAGUAACAAGUUUUCCUGACAUUCUCUUUGUCUGUGUUCAACACAGCUGAGCAGAAAUAAAAUAAAAAAAAUACUUAUGACUGUAAAAAAAUUAGACAGCAAAAGGGAAGUAUGUUCUUCUUGAAAUCUUGGUUAUAGAAUUUGUUUCUGUUGAAAGAUUAAAGCCUCAAGUUGGAAGGUAAGAAAAGUCAGAUUUCAGCUGCUAAAGCAUGAAAAUAUUUUCAUGUUCUGAGUAAAACAUUAACAUAUUGAUAUUUUUGCAAAUAAUACUACUUUUUAGAAAAAAAUAUGUUCAAAAUUCAACUGAAGUCUUUGAAGUUGAUCUUCUGUAAUUUUUAUUUAUUUAUUUUUAAAGGAAAAUGUUAGCAAUUACAACUGACAUUAUCUUAAUUUACAAAUCAUUUAGUAUGUUCUGUCUUAUAACUAAGGAUUGAAGCUGUUGGAGGAGUUCUCUAACUUUGUAUUUCCUUUCUAUUUUUAAAAUUCAGAUGGGUAUAAAGCAUCUAAGUUAAGACAACAAGACAUACUUGCUCAGAAAAAAUGAUCUUACCUUUCAGAGACAGUCAGAAAAUUAGUUGAAGUAAUUUCUGACUAAUAUCAAUCUGAUAGGCAUAACCUGCCUGAAAACGUUCCUAAAAUAUGCCAACUCUUUUACUUGACAGAUACCUGAGCAUAUUAAAAAAG
ensembl:lncRNA